CAAUCAUAUUUAACUUCAUAAGUGUGGGGAAAGGUUUUAAGAACCCAAAUUAUACAACGGGUAUAAACGUACUACACCCGCAAAUGUGUAGCGCUGUAAUAGUACUUGGUAAAUUGAUCAACGUAUCAUUUGACAUUUUUUGUAAAUAACAUUUUUCAAAUUUUAGUGUAUGAAGGUUGAGCAGCUGUUCAAGUCUGCUUGAGUUGAAAACGGGUUUUUGGGCAAGAUCCAUGUAUAACUGUUUUAGUUCAAGUAAAUCACCAAAAAAGGGAUA
rnacentral:lncRNA from 1 species